rnacentral:tRNA from 1 species
GCAGCUGUAGCUCAGACGGUUAGAGCGCCGGUUUGAAAGUCCGGAGGUCACUUGUUCAACUCAAGUUGGCUGCA